UCUUGCUGCCUUUUGUGCUCCUGGGACCCCCAGAGAGGGUGCAGUGAACGGGCGGGUGGCCUGGACCCUCUGAAAGUGAUGGGAAGUGCUUUGUACACAAGGAACCAAACUCUAUAAUUUAGAGGAGAAUUUCCGGGGCAAUUCCAUUGUGAGGUCGGGUUUAUGGUGUGCAAUCGAGCUGAGCAGUAAAAGGCACACUGACCUGGCGGCUGGGCUUCCAGCACGGCCUGAGCAGUUUAUGAGGCGUUUAGGGGAAGGGUUUGCCCCACCACACUCCACCGAGCAGUGGGCGAAAGGGGCUUCGGUUGGUCCAACCCUGCGCAGGGGUUGGAGGUUUGGAAAGACGGAUAAACAGUGUGCCGCCGAUUAAGGAAAGGAAGCUGGGAGACGUUGACUUUAUUCGAACCACAUGGUUCCAGUUUGCGGUGGCGUUCUCGCUGCAGCUGGAAGCGACGCUGCGCCGGGCCCCAUCUGGAUCAUAGUCUAAGUGGGCCUAUUGCCCGGUGGACCUGGGCGGGCGGCGGGGAGUGGGGGAGACGCGGGCAAAGAAACGAUUUGCCCGGAGCUGAGACUUGCCCCUGGGCUGCGGGUGGGGCAGGCGGGUGCGCAGAGUGUAGAGUCCCUCCCUAGUCUGGGUCAGUAGACAGGGGUCGGGAGGGCCUGCAGGCUUGGUCCAGAGUUCGGUAAUAGGCUAACGGAGGCUGUGCCCGGCCGACCCCUCGCAGCCUCUGCAGGCCAGUUGUCCACGCUGCGGUGGGCAGGGCGCUCGCGCGGAGCCUCGGGGUCCUUUUCCCGCGGGAGGCGUCAGGCCGGCCAGGAGCCGGCAGAUUCGUUGGCCACAUAUUUGAGCCUCUUCCCCUUCCAUUCUAGGCUGCCGCGGGCCCCGCGGAGCAAGACCACCUGUGAGGGCUGCUGAGAUUGGCGGAGGCGGUCAUGUGGGCGGUCACGUGCUGCGGCGAGCUCCGUCCAAAAGAAAAUGGGGUUUGGUGUAAAUCUGGGGGUGUAAUGUUAUCAUAUAUCACGCUACCUCGUAAAACCGACACUGAAAGCUGCCGGACAACAAAUCACAGAGAAGCGGCUACGGGGCGGGCGCCGGCGCCUUCGCUUCCACCGUACCGGGCUUGUACAAUGUCAACAGCCCCCUCUAUCAGAGCCCCUUCGCGUCCGGGUACGGCCUGGGCGCCGACGCCUACGGCAACCUGCCCUGCGCCUCCUACGACCAAAACAUCC
rnacentral:lncRNA from 1 species